rnacentral:rRNA from 1 species
AAAAUCCGGGCCUCAUAAACUCUGAGACGUGAUACCGAGCCGCUUCAGGCGAAGUCAUUGAUCCUAUGCUGCCUAGAAAAGCCCAGCAGCGAGUUGACAUGGUGCCCGUACCCCAAACCAACACAGGUGGACAGGUAGAGCAUACCAAGGCGAGUGGGAUAACUAUGGUUAAGGAACUCGGCAAAUUGCCUCCGUAACUUCGGGAGAAGGAGGACCCCAGUAGCGUGAUGAGACUUGCUCUCUGAGCGUGAAGGGGUGGCACAAAAUUGAGGGAAGCGACUGUUUACCAAAAACACAGCAGCGUGCUAAGCCGUAAGGCGCUGUAUACGCUGUGACUCCUGCCCGGUGCUGGAAGGUUACGGGGAUGGGUUAGUCCUUCGGGACGAAGCUCUGAACCUAAGCCCCAGUAAACGGCGGCCGUAACUAUAACGGUCCUAAGGUAGCGAAAUUUCCUUGUCGGGUAAGUUCCGACCUGCACGAAUGGAGUAACGACUUCCCUACUGUCUCAACCAUAGACCCAGCGAAAUUGAAGUACGAGUAAAGAUGCUCGUUAGCUGCAGAAGGACGGAAAGACCCCGUGGACCUUUACUAUAACUUGAUGUUGUGUUUUGUCAUAUGUUGUGUAGGAUAGGUGGGAGACUUGGAAGCAUGGACGCUAGUCUGUGUGGAGUCAUCGUUGAAAUACCACCCUGCAUAUGGUGAGGCUCUAACCUAGACCCGUUAUCCGGGUUGGGGACAGCGUCAGGCGGGUAGUUUAACUGGGGCGGUUGCCUCCUAAAGAGUAACGGAGGCGCCCAAGGGUUCCCUCAGCCUGGUUGGCAAUCAGGCGUUGAGUGCAAUGGCAAAAGGGAGCUUGACUGCGAGACCUACAAGUCGAGCAGGAGCGAAAGCUGGGCAUAGUGAUCCGGCGGUUGCGUGUGGAAGCGCCGUCGCUCAACGGAUAAAAGGUACCCCGGGGAUAACAGGCUAAUCUUGCCCAAGCGUCCAUAGCGACGGCAAGGUUUGGCACCUCGAUGUCGGCUCAUCGCAUCCUGGGGCUGAAGCAGGUCCCAAGGGUUGGGCUGUUCGCCCAUUAAAGCGGUACGCGAGCUGGGUUCAGAACGUCGUGAGACAGUUCGGUCCCUAUCCUCUGCAGCCGGAGGUGAAUUGAGGAAAGCUGUCCCUAGUACGAGAGGACCGGGACGGACGCAGCUCUCGUGUGCCAGUUGUCCUGCCAAGGGCAUGGCUGGUUAGCGACCUGCGGAAAGGAUAACCGCUGAAAGCAUCUAAGCGGGAAGCCUCUUCCAAGAUGAAUUCACCCACAGGGUUAACCUGGUAAGGCCCGUGGUAGACCACCACGUUGAUAGGCCGGAAGUGUAAGCGUGGCAACACGUUCAGCUGACCGGUACUAAUCGGCCGAGGGCUUGAGUCC